ACCCAAAUUCAAUUCUAUUACGAUGAUGACGCUUCCCUUUUCUCAACGACAAUGAUGGCGCAUCCCUUUUCUUAACAACAAUGAUGGCGCUUCCUCUCUUUUUUCUCAAGGACGACGAUGGCACUUCCUUUUCUUCUCAAGGAUGAUGAUGACGACUCCCCUGUUCUCCAGAAUCAUGCCUUGCGACUUCGUCGUCACGAGCUUCGUUGUCACUGAUGCGCUUGAGCCCGACCAAUCAAUCUAUCAUUUACUUCAACGCCCUUUUUGAGAUGUUUACCGGUUACCGGGCAUAAAAACUGCUCAGUCACAACAGAUUAGUACCUCUAUCAAGAUUUGUCAUUAAGUUUAAGUUUAGGUUUUCGGUUCACAAUUCUCUCUCCCUCGAAACCCUAGGAAACCACGGUAGAAUUUUAAUGGAUGGUUGUUAAUGUGAUGCUCAUGGUACUGAAUGUUGCUGGUCGAUCAAAAUUGGAAUUUUGUUGCUUGAGGUUUGUGUUAAAUCUAUUCAUUAACUUGGUAAAUUAUGUGAAUGUUGUUAUCAAUGGUUGUAAUGCUUUACAUUGAGUGGUAGAGAAGUUAGAUAUCUGAAUUGUGUGUUUUUAUAAGUAUAUGGCUAACUUCUAGAGCUUUAAUUUAAUGUGUUGGAACGCUAUGCCAAAGAUGCCGAUUGAAACUCUUAGUUGGUGUAUUUUGAAUUGAAUAGUAGUUGUACAUGCAUUGCUUGUGUCCCUGGAGGUGAUGGUGAUGUCGUUGUUUCUCAUUCUGGUGGUAAUUUGUAGUGUGUAUGAGAAGGUAAGUAUCAAUUAUCAGUAGAGAAUCUUGUUCCAUGGUUCACUUAGAAUGUGAUAUUUCUUAUAGUAAGUUAAUAAGAUAUGUAGCUUUUCUUUCCCAUUUUAGAACAAAGAUGGUGCUGGUGAUUCUUCUUUUCCAGUUGUAAAAGAUUAAACUCAAUUUUCCGUUGCCAUGCACGUUACAGUGAGGUAUUGAGUUUAAUGACUUUUUGAUUUCUAAAUAAUUUACUAAUAUAAAUAUUUUUUACCCUUUUCAUCUAACUAUCUAUAUUUUAAUUUUUCUGUAGUAAAUUCAGCCUGUAUCACUUGUUAGUAUAAUGAUUGCUUAGUUCUUGUGGAACUUCGCGGCUUUCUCACUAAAUACUUUAUUGGCAAUACUACUAAUACAUCCAAGGCAUAAUUAGUUUUUGGUUUAUAUGAACUCUAUAGGUUGUAGUUAUGGAGAAUAUGUUGAUUUUUGCAGAGUAAUCUGAUAGCCAAAUGAAAUAUAUGCUAGGGUUCAAUUACCAAUAUGGGAGGUAGGAUAUGGAGAGGAAGGAAUAGAGAUUCCCUGGUGGGGCUAAAGAAAGGGCCACGGACACCGAAGGAAUAUCAGAAGCUCUUGGCAUAUAUUGAAGAACACGGCCAUUGAAGCUGGCGUGCUUUGCCAGCAAAAGCUGGACUUGAGAGGUGUGGCAAGAGCUGUAGAUUGAGAUGGACUAAUUAUCUAAGGCCUGAUAUUAAGAGGGGAAAGUUCAGUAUGCAAGAAGAACAAACCAUCAUUCAACUCCAUGCACUUAGGGAACAGGUGCAUAUGAAUGUUGUGUAGUGAUUAAAUCAAAUGAUGUGGCUAUUGCAAUAGUAGAGAAAGUGGCUAAGGGUGCUAUCACCAAACUUCUUGUUGGAGCUUUAUCAUGUAGCAUAUUUGAAAGGUGGUUAAAUUAUGAAGAUCCUUUGGUAAACCAAGGUGCAUAAGGUGCAUGGACUAAGGAAGAGGACAAGUCCCUUUUACUUAUUGUCCAAGAUAUGUGAUAAGGAACUGGUUCAAUAUUGCUUCAUCUUUAAGCACAUAUCAAGCAGGACUUCAUUUCAAUGAUUGUCACGAUUCCGAAAGGGCUUCAAUCAUUCCAUGCUAAAUAGUGAAUGGAAUGAGGAAGAAGAUGUUCAACUAUGUUCUGCGGUGACAUAUUUUGGUGAUAACAAUUGGCAGUGUGUGGCUUUUGUUUUAGAACGACAGAAGGGAACCUAGUGCUCAAAUAGGUUGGUUAACUAUUUAAAUUGUGUUUGUAGUUGGAGUUUGAAUAAGGGAGUUAAUUAUGUUGAUUAUAUACAUUUAUACAGUGUACUCAUGUAUAAAUUUGUGUCACAAACAAAUUCUUACUGAUUUAGUUUUUUUUUGAAUCACAAGGUGAAAUGUUAGAGCCAUGUUAAAUUUGUCACUA